rnacentral:lncRNA from 1 species
GUUUCUUUCAGCAAAUGCAUGUAAGGAUUCAAGUGCACUACCAAAAUUUUCAUGAUGCUGGACUUGUUGACGAAUCCAUUUAGAUAAUCCAGUUAUGUACUUGUUAGGGUUAUUCCGGAACCGGUCAUCAACUAAGAUAAGGGCACCCCAAUCACUCCUAUGCCUUAUACACCUUCCCAGGGCCUGGUUCAGAGCCCUGUAAGCCUGGAUUUCAU